rnacentral:rRNA from 2 species
GUUAAUGAGGCGAACCGGGGGAACUGAAACAUCUAAGUACCCCGAGGAAAAGAAAUCAACCGAGAUUCCCCCAGUAGCGGCGAGCGAACGGGGAGGAGCCCAGAGCCUGAAUCAGUGUGUGUGUUAGUGGAAGCGUCUGGAAAGGCGCGCGAUACAGGGUGACAGCCCCGUACACAAAAAUGCACAUACUGUGAGCUCGAUGAGUAGGGCGGGACACGUGGUAUCCUGUCUGAAUAUGGGGGGACCAUCCUCCAAGGCUAAAUACUCCUGACUGACCGAUAGUGAACCAGUACCGUGAGGGAAAGGCGAAAAGAACCCCGGCGAGGGGAGUGAAAAAGAACCUGAAACCGUGUACGUACAAGCAGUGGGAGCCUCUUAAUGGGGUGACUGCGUACCUUUUGUAUAAUGGGUCAGCGACUUAUAUUCUGUAGCAAGGUUAACCGAAUAGGGGAGCCGAAGGGAAACCGAGUCUUAACUGGGCGUUAAGUUGCAGGGUAUAGACCCGAAACCCGGUGAUCUAGCCAUGGGCAGGUUGAAGGUUGGGUAACACUAACUGGAGGACCGAACCGACUAAUGUUGAAAAAUUAGCGGAUGACUUGUGGCUGGGGGUGAAAGGCCAAUCAAACCGGGAGAUAGCUGGUUCUCCCCGAAAGCUAUUUAGGUAGCGCCUCGUGAAUUCAUCUCCGGGGGUAGAGCACUGUUUCGGCAAGGGGGUCAUCCCGACUUACCAACCCGAUGCAAACUGCGAAUACCGGAGAAUGUUAUCACGGGAGACACACGGCGGGUGCUAACGUCCGUCGUGAAGAGGGAAACAACCCAGACCGCCAGCUAAGGUCCCAAAGUCAUGGUUAAGUGGGAAACGAUGUGGGAAGGCCCAGACAGCCAGGAUGUUGGCUUAGAAGCAGCCAUCAUUUAAAGAAAGCGUAAUAGCUCACUGGUCGAGUCGGCCUGCGCGGAAGAUGUAACGGGGCUAAACCAUGCACCGAAGCUGCGGCAGCGACACUAUGUGUUGUUGGGUAGGGGAGCGUUCUGUAAGCCUGUGAAGGUGUACUGUGAGGU